rnacentral:rRNA from 1 species
UACAGAGGAUGCAAGCGUUAUCCGGAAUUAUUGGGCGUAAAGAGCUUGUAGGCGGUUUGUCGCGUCUGCUGUGAAAAUCCGGGGCUCAACCCCGGACUUGCAGUGGGUACGGGCAGACUAGAGUGUGGUAGGGGAGACUGGAAUUCCUGGUGUAGCGGUGGAAAUGCGCAGAUAUCAGGAGGAACACCAGUGGCGAAGGCAG